GUUUCAGAAAAUAAUAUGAAGUACAAUGGGCUACAAAAUUCCAGGACCUAGCUGCACUCAAAUUCGUCACUGUGCAGUCAGCACUGUCACACGUUGGGAAAACAGCCGUAUCUUUUAGCACGAGCGUCGAAAUCGUGCAUCGUUUCUUGAUUUUGAAACUAGACACAUAGGCCUUUCAAAAUAUGUAAAGAUUGUGCCUUAAAGCUUCCUGGGCAAAAUCAGUUUUUGAGUUGAAGUUGGUAGAACUGCAGAAUCUGCCACUGUUUUUCCGAAGCUAAAAGUCCAACUUAAAUGGGUAUAGCUAUGUUGUCCGAACUCCAUUUUUAACCUAUGACUUGUCGUUUUGAAGCUCUUGAAGUCUAGUUUUUAAUGACUAUGGUCUUGCCACCGGAACUAGCGAUUACAUUACUUUUAAGCUAUUGAAUCUAACCUAACCUCAUACCUUGACCCUAGAAUCUUGUUAAUAAAAUAUGGGACAAUAAGGAAGUUUAUCUUAGAGUUUUGAAUGACUAUCGAUGCCUAACAUAUUUUUUGCAUUACUUGCUUACUGUAGGGGACUUGUGUGAAAGCUUGGAUCAAGGUGAGUGAUUUAAUACCUAAAUUACAUGGUUUUGAACUUGUUUUCUUUAACGAACUUAUUUGAACAAGUUUUAUGAAUUGUGUACUCCAUGGAAUAGCAAUGGAAGGUGGACCUAUUUGUGAAAUAUUUGCGAAUCUAUUUAAUGGCAUUCCCAACGUCCGGUCUUGCUAGGGGACGGCUUAAUGGCUAGCAAGGGUGUUUGAGGUUGGUGUGUGUUUUGGGAUAAUGCGUAGACGUCUGGCUUAUCCACUACCGGGGACGUCUGGUAGCUUUUGAAUUUUGAAUAGCGGAAUGUGCAUUAUAUUUGGCGUAUGGAUUUGAGUUUUUUGUUUUGAAAUACUAUCAAAUUAUUUUCCAUUGUCCAUGGAGAGCAUGUGAGUGAUUUAAUACCUAAAUUACAUGGUUUUGAACUUGUUUUCUUUAACGAACUUAUUUGAACAAGUUUUAUGAAUUGUGUACUCCAUGGAAUAGCAAUGGAAGGUGGACCUAUUUGUGAAAUAUUUGCGACUCUAUUUAAUGGCAUUCCCAACGUCCGGUCUUGCUAGGGGACGGCUUAAUGGCUAGCAAGGGUGUUUGAGAUUGGUGUGUGUUUUGGGAUAAUGCGUAGACGUCUGGCUUAUCCACUACCGGGGACGUCUGGUAGCUUUUGAAUUUUGAAUAGCGGAAUGUGCAUUAUAUUUGGCGUAUGGAUUUGAGUUCUUUGUUUUGAAAUACUAUCAAAUUAUUUUGCAUUGUCCAUGGAGAGCAUGUAAAUUAUGUAUUGGUCACUCAUACGAGCAUUAGCUUAUGUAUUUUCUCCACCUUUCAAGAAUUAAAGAGUUUGAUGGCGUGGCACUUGCGCUGUGGGGUCGGAUCAUAUGAUUAUUUCAUGGAUAGGAGUUGUAUUUUGAUUACUUGUUAAAUUAUGUAAUCAUUGAAUUAAAGAGUUUGAUGGCGUGGCACUUGCGCUGUGGGGUCGGAUCAUAUGAUUAUUUCAUGGAUAGGAGUUGUAUUUUGAUUACUUGUUAAAUUAUGUAAUCAUUGUAAGUGGCUUGCUAAACCUUAUUAUUAAGCACAGCUCUGAGGUGUAGUUUGGGGGUCUUAGCUCUUUUGAAGUGUAAGUUGUCGUUUGUUAGGUUGCACAGGAUAGGCUUCCGUUGGUUACGCGCUCUUGUCCCUUCUUAUUAUGUGAUUAUGAGAAGUUAUAUGUUAGAUAUGGCCUUGGUG